rnacentral:rRNA from 1 species
GAUGAACGCUGGCGGCGUGCUUAACACAUGCAAGUCGAACGUGAGGGUGUAGCAAUAUGCCUGAAAGUGGCGAACGGGUGAGUAACACGUAGAUGACCUGCCCUGGAGUGGGGGAUAACCAUUGGAAACGGUGGCUAAUACCGCAUACAUCCAUAUUUCUGGGAAGAGAUGUGGGGAAAGCUCUGGUGCUCUGGGAGGGGUCUGCGUCCGAUUAGCUAGUUGGUGAGGUAAAGGCUCACCAAGGCGACGAUCGGUAGCUGGUCUGAGAGGACGAUCAGCCACACGGGAACUGAGACACGGUCCCGACUCCUACGGGGGGCAGCAGUGAGGAAUAUUGGGCAAUGGGCGAGAGCCUGACCCAGCAACGCCGCGUGGAGGAAGACGGCCUUCGGGUUGUAAACUCCUUUUGACAGGGAAGAGAGAGGACGGUACCUGU